UGAUGAGGUUGAUAGGCCGGGUAUGGAAGCGUUGUAAGGCGUGGAGUUGACUGGUACUAAUAGGCCGAAGACUUAUUCACA
rnacentral:rRNA from 1 species